GGGAUUUUAGUUUAAAUUGAAAACAAUAAUAUUGCUAAUUAAAAAUAUAGAAACUAUACCUAUAAAUUCCA
rnacentral:tRNA from 1 species